GCAGAAUGAUUCUGUUGUUCUAUGACUUUCAGGUUGUUGAAUCAGUUCACCAUUUACCUGGAAAAUAAAGAGGAGGAUUAGAUUUUCACGCAAGCAAGGUUCUGUCAAAAAAGAAAUGUUAAAUCCAUUAAGUCAACUGCUUAAAAUUGGUCACAAUUUAUCUGCAAGACCCUGUAUUUACACACACACACACA